GUCCACAUAGCUUAACACUAAAGCAUGGCACUGAAGCCGCCAAGAUGGUACAUAAAUGCACCUGAGGAC
rnacentral:tRNA from 1 species